GAUGAACGCUAGCGGCAGGCUUAAUACAUGCAAGUCGAGGGGCAGCAUGACUGUAGCAAUACAGUUGAUGGCGACCGGCAAACGGGUGCGGAACACGUACAGAACCUUCCUUCGAGCGGGGAAUAGCCCAGAGAAAUUUGGAUUAAUACCCCAUAGUACAACGGAGUGGCAUCACUUUGUUGUUAAAGAUUUAUCACUUGAAGAUGGCUGUGCGGCUGAUUAGGUAGUUGGCGGGGUAACGGCCCACCAAGCCUGCGAUCAGUAACUGGUGUGAGAGCACGACCAGUCACACGGGCACUGAGACACGGGCCCGACUCCUACGGGAGGCAGCAGUAAGGAAUAUUGGUCAAUGGACGAAAGUCUGAACCAGCCAUGCCGCGUGGAGGAUGAAGGUCCUCUGGAUUGUAAACUUCUUUUAUAUGGGACGAAAAAAGGUUUUCUAACUCGUCUGACGGUACCAUAUGAAUAAGCACCGGCUA
rnacentral:rRNA from 1 species